rnacentral:rRNA from 1 species
ACGAACGCUGGCGGCGUGCUUAACACAUGCAAGUCGCACGGAAAGGCCCUGCUUUUGUGGGGUGCUCGAGUGGCGAACGGGUGAGUAGCACGUGAGUAACCUGCCCUUGACUUUGGGAUAACUUCAGGAAACUGGGGCUAAUACCGGAUAGGAGCUCCUGCUGCAUGGUGGGGGUUGGAAAGUUUCGGCGGUUGGGGAUGGACUCGCGGCUUAUCAGCUUGUUGGUGGGGUAGUGGCUUACCAAGGCUUUGACGGGUAGCCGGCCUGAGAGGGUGACCGGCCACAUUGGGACUGAGAUACGGCCCAGACUCCUACGGGAGGCAGCAGUGGGGAAUAUUGCACAAUGGGCGGAAGCCUGAUGCAGCAACGCCGCGUGCGGGAUGACGGCCUUCGGGUUGUAAACCGCUUUCGCCUGUGACGAAGCGUGAGUGACGGUAAUGGGUAAAGAAGCACCGGCUAACUACGUG